CACGGUUGUGUUUUCAGUCAUCAUGGAACCACCGGUAGCUGUUGUGUGUGAUUUAAAUGCGCUACAGUCAAUUAUGAUUGCAUUUCAUAUCUUGGCUAAAAGACAAUGCAUUCGCAGACAUCGAAUGCUAGCCAUCUGACGAUAUCAGGUCAAUCAAAAAUUACAAUGUGCCCCGGAGUGGACAGAAUUGUACACUCGCAAACUCGAUCACAAACGAGGGCUGAGGGGCUUACGUUGCCAACUUCCCUUGCUUGGCUAAUUGUUUGGACCGACGGCAAAGAUGGGCGCGGGGAUUCCCCCAAGGGCAUUAGGCGAGGAAAGUCGUCAAACCCUGUCUGCAGAUGAAGAGGUCCCAAUGAAUGUUCCAAGAGAAUAAGAGUCCAUCCUUGUAUACCAUGGAUUACUGUAUAUGUUAGCACAUGUUGUGAACAAAAAUAAAGUUUAAAAGUCACACAAUGUAUAAACCUAUUACAACUGGAGCAGGCCAACCCUGCUGGGUGUGCAUGCUUCUGUUCCAGCCCAGCACUAACACACCUGAUUCAAUGUAUCAAAGCUAAUUAGUUAAUAAUCAAGUGUGCUAUUGCUGGGCUGGAACAGAAGUCUGCUCACCUAGUAGAUCAGGGAUCAGUGGAGUGAGGCUGGCCACCUAUGGUUUUGACUUUUUUUUUGUUCACCUGAAAUGAUGUUUUACUAAUAAUAGCCUACUUGUUACUAAAAUGUCUAACCUUUACAUAUACUUGUACUCCUGAGUGGCGCAGUGGUCUAAGGCACUGCAUCGCAGUGCUAAC